AGAGCGACGAUUGUGGUUAUUGGA
rnacentral:siRNA from 1 species